UAAAAUUCACCUAAAACAUACAAGGGACAAUGUUUACAAAUGUAAAACGAUUCUGUGUUAACAUCAACCGCGAUCGAAACGACCAUUGGAGACUUCAGUUCAACAAAAGAUAAAUUAAAACGAAUUAUACAAUCAAUAAAAAAAAAAAAAAGUAAAACACCAUAAUCAAAAAGUACAAUUAUGGACUUAUUUAAUAUUAGUACAUAAGUGAUAUUUGGAAUAUCUUACAUAAAGCCUC
rnacentral:lncRNA from 1 species